rnacentral:rRNA from 1 species
AUUGAACGCUGGCGGCAGGCCUAACACAUGCAAGUCGAACGGGUGGCGGACGGGUGAGUAAUGUCUGAGCAACUGCCUAAUGGAGGGGUAUAACUGGUAGAAACGGUAGAUACUACCGCAUAAGGUCCGAUGUGCCCUGGUGGGAUUAGCUGGUUGGGGGGGUAACGGCUCACCAAGGCGACGAUCCCUAGCUGGUCUGAGAGGAUGACCAGCCACACUGGAACUGAGACACGGGCCAGACUCCGACGGGAGGCAGCAGUGGGGAAUAUUGCACAAGGGGCGAAAGCCUGAUGGAGCCACGCCGCGUGUAUGAAGAAGGCCUUCGGGUCGUAAAGCACUUUUAGUGGGGAAGCGGUACCUAACGAAGAAGCACCGGCUAACUCCGUGCCAGCAGCCGCGGUAAUUC